CCAGUGGGCUAUGACUACGAGCACCGACAGAUCGACUGCAGCGCCAUUGUGGUGAGUUAGGGGAGUCUGUAUACGCGCUAUACUUCGCACCGACAGACCCAAAAAUAAGCCCGACUAAGUUAGGGGCACUUACGCCGUUCGCUUCCGGACAUUCCUCCUUAAUGCGAAACUAUGGGAUGAGGGCCCCUAAAGCUAAGUCAGGUAAAACAAAAAAGUAAAGUAAGUGAAAGAUCACUAUUAAAUAGGGUUGAAUUUUUUAACUAUGCCAAACAAGCCGUAUUCUGGUAGAAAUUCUUAGGCCUUACACCUUAGUUGUUACUUAUUGUCUGCUGAAUGUAGAUUGUGUUCUAUUUUAAACAUUCUCUUGGUUACCAAAGUAAAAUUUGCCACCUUCUUUUCACGAUUAUUUGCAUGAUACACUCGAUUGUUGUUUGAAGGUGGAUUUUCACCAGAAAUCCUUUGAAUGGUACGCCCACUGUCAGCAGCCUUACAGUGUGCUUCAUAAAUACAUCAACCCCUGAGAUAACAUUAUCGUUGGAAAUUGUGUUUUUGUUGUGGUUCUGUUCUCCACUUUUGUUAUCCACAUGCAAUUUUCACACUACUUCAUUACCUUUGUGGUGUGAUAAUUUAUCAUCCUGGAAAAAGGAUUCUGGAAAUUGAUGAUUUAUAAUAUACAGCUGAUAACGAGAUAUAAUGUAUUUACAUUCCAGAAUGAACUUCCAGUUUGGAGUUGUGAGUGUUUUAUCAGAUUAUGGAUUCCUACUUUGAAAACCAACUAUUUUCUUCUACAAAUGGAUUUUGAAGUAUCAUGUGCAUGUGGUAUUAUGUACUCUAUGAUGGAAGUACUAUCGUGUGCUGCAUAAUGUUAUUACUUUAUGGAAUCAGUUCAUUCAAUUUUAACCUAUUUUUGUAUUCAAAUAUAGAUGUUUGUGAAGCCUUUGAUUGACAUUAUAUAUUAAAAAAUACUCAUGGAAGCCUUCAGGAGGUUCUUGCAGGAUCUGUUAUUGGCCGUCUAUGUUAUGCAGUAAAUUGGAUCUGCAGUUCAGUUAGAAACUUUAACUUAAAAAUAUGCUCAGCAUAGAAUUUAUAUGAAAAAUGAUAUUUGAUUGGAAAAGUUCCUGGUUGAGAAAAGAGAUUU